rnacentral:rRNA from 1 species
UACGUAGGGUGCGAGCGUUAAUCGGAAUUACUGGGCGUAAAGCGUGCGCAGGCGGUUUUGUAAGCCAGAUGUGAAAUCCCCGGGCUUAACCUGGGAAUGGCAUUUGGGACUGCAAGGCUUGAGUUUGGCAGAGGAGACUGGAAUUCCUGGUGUAGCAGUGAAAUGCGUAGAUAUCAGGAGGAAUACCGAUGGCGAAGGCAGGUCUCUGGGCUAGAACUGACGCUCAUGCACGAAAGCGUGGGGAGCAAACAGGAUUAGA